rnacentral:rRNA from 1 species
UACGUAUGGUGCAAGCGUUAUCCGGAUUUACUGGGUGUAAAGGGAGCGUAGACGGAGUGGCAAGUCUGAUGUGAAAACCCGGGGCUCAACCCCAGGACUGCAUUGGAAACUGUCAAUCUAGAGUACCGGAGAGGUAAGCGGAAUUCCUAGUGUAGCGGUGAAAUGCGUAGAUAUUAGGAGGAACACCAGUGGCGAAGGCGGCUUACUGGACGGUAACUGACGUUGAGGCUCGAAAGCGUGGGGAGCAAACAGG